rnacentral:lncRNA from 1 species
GAAAGAGAUUGCCACAGUCCAAGAAAGGAAGAAGGCUGAAGAAAUCAAGGGGAGUAGCUACAAAAGCAUUUUCCGAAGGAUAGGAGAAGCAAAGGAGGUGAUGAGGAAGGACCCUUAUUCCCCUUAUGCAUAUCAGGCUUGAUGAAAGCCUUAGUCUUUGAUAGUACAGGAAGAGAAAAGAGGAAAAAUACCAAAAAUAGAUAACCUCUUAAAGCCUCAGGACUUGGAAGGACUGGAGCCCCUGGAGACAGAGGCAAGAAUAAAGUGGAUCACAGGAGACCGAUUGAAAUCA